AAACUGAUUACCUAUCCGACCAGGUUACAGUACACAAAAGAAUAGAUAGUACACAAAAGAAAUAGGUCGUGAGUCUUCACGUGAGUCAUGAAAACAUGUCAUCUACAUGUUCACAUAUCGCCUGACCGAACAUUUUCCAAAUUUUUCUUUUUUCCCACCAAUCCGAGCCUCAUCCUUGUUACUAAGCACGUAAUCUCCAACGAAUCCGGUAACCGCCAUCCCCAAAAUUUUCUAUUUUCCGAAAUUAUAAAAGUCCGACCCGUAUGACUUUUAGUCAGUAUUGUAUCAGUUUAGGUCAGUAUUAGAAAGAGUGUCAGAAAGAGUAUCAGAAAGAGUGUCACAAAGAGUAUCAGAAAGAGUAUCAGUACGAGAUUUAACCAGUUUUAAUAUCAGAUCAGUAUUAGAUCACUACAAGUAAGAGUAUCAGUACGAGAUCACUACCAGUUUUAAUAUCAGAUCAGUAUUAGAUCACUACAAGUAAGAGUAUCAGUACGAGAUCACUACCAGUUUUAAUAUCAGAUCAGUAUUAGAUCACUACAAGUAAGAGUAUCAGUAAGAGUAUCAAUACGAGCACCAGUACCAGAUUAGUAUCGGUAUGAGUACCAGUACCAGUACCAACCGGACGGGAACCACGAUCUUAGAAGACUUAGAAAGACCCAUUUUUUUUCUUCGUACAGAUCAACAUGGGUCGUCGAUCUUGUCAUCAAAGCAGCGAUCUGCACGACGCUCUCCAAACGCUGAGGUUACUGUCUUUGGCCUCCGAUUCUCUUUCACGCGAAGUCCUACACCGGAAAAUUUAUAGAGAGUUCGCACGAUAUUUAGAAUUAGAAGAUCUACCCCCUUUCCCUCUCCACUUAAUGCCACUUACAGAUCUGCACCCUCUUCCACCGCCUCCAUCUUCUCCUCCAUCUCUUCGUCUAUCUUAUUCUUCGCCCCCUUCACUCUCCAAUAAUCCUGAAGACUAACUCUCACCCUCACCCUAUACACUCACGCGCAUACCACACACACACGCACACAUCGUAUUAAAAUUGUAGUUAUAAGUAAAUCAUAUUUUUUCCUUUUGUAAAUAAAUUUAAUUUCUUUCUUAACCCGUCCUCUCCCAUUAUCGCUCGAGGUCCAGUCCCGAGUAAAGAGAUUUAUAUCUCUGACUCAAAAUCGGACCGCUCGCCGUACGUCGUUGCGCUAGUAAAGUGACCCUUCCGGUCGCUGACUCGCUCUUCGACCUACAAGUACAAGCGAGGCUUUCAUUACGUUGCGUUCUCCUGCAGAAUGUAACAAUUACAUGUGCGCGCUAUUUAGCUUCCUGUGAUGAGUAAACCAUAACUGAAAAGACACACACAUACACACACCUUAUGUACAGAAACCUGACUUCAAUAUCUGCUCGACUAUUGGGGGAAAUUAUUUAAACCAGUAUUACUGUGCUCGAGGUAUAUCAAUCGUGCGCGCGCGAUCGCGCGCAACUCCAAUUUUAAUCGACGGCGGGAAUAAUAGUGAGAGGCUGAUCAGCGUCAUUCGGCCUGACGGGAUGACAAAUAGGAGAAAGAGUGAGAGGACAAGAGUGCGAAACGAGAAGCGAACGAGAAAGGAGGGCCGCAGUAGCGCGACGUGGACACGUGGAGAAAAGUUUGUACACACAGAGAGCCGGCGGCUUACACCGUAUGACGCGACGACGAUGACGACGACGGCCGUGUAUGUGUCCCAGCCGGCUGUGCUCUCGCUUCUGGCUCUAUCGAUUUAGGACGACUCUACGUAACACAACCCGUCGGUUCGUACACACAACGACGGCCCCUUCCGUAUUAUGCCCACCGGAGUUAUUACGCAGUCGCAGAGAGCACUCUCUCAGGACCCGUGGAUCCUGACGCCUAACCGCCGCUUCUCCCCGCGAGCCUCUCUACGCUCGCUCUAUCUUCAUUUUUCCUCACUUUCCUGCGAACCGCCGUGCGGCGAAGUUUACCGUGCGCACGGUUGGGCGGAAGUAGCGAAACGUGAUUACACGAAGACGAGAAUUUCGCAAGUCACCCCGACGAGUUGGGCAAACACCUGAAGAUUAAGGGUGAAGAUUGGCGACGCCCACCGGGAAAUUAAUAAUUUCUAUCUAUUUGUGCGGAACAGCGAGCAGCUUGAGCAAUACUUGAUGAAUAGCGAUUUUAAAUCGUUAAUUAGACUAAUUAGAAUUGCAAAGUCAUCUUAAUGCGUUGAAUGCCGUGAAAAUCACCGGUGACAAGUACUGUGUGACACUGCUGAGUCUCAUUAAGAUGCGUGCAGAGUAUAAUUAUCUUUCCUUGACGCGCGUAUUAGAUUCUGCGGCAAUGUCCGGCAUUAAUUGAUGAGAAUUUUCUCUGACUAAAAUAAUCGGCAAAUCAAUCAAAAUUAAUCCAUCAUCAUAAAUGUAAUUAUGAAUAAUUUAAUUGGUUACUGAAAUUAAUUAUUAAUUAGCAUAUAAUCAAUCACAUUAAAAUUUGAUUGAUAAUUGACUUCACUAAUAGAUAAAGUAAUUUGUGAUUUUACAUAUCUUAUACGUGACGAUUGAUUAAUUUUUAUCAUUGAUUUGCGCCGAUUGUUUUAGUCAAGAGAACAUUUUAAUCGAUUAAUGUCAAAACACCGCACCCACACGUCUCUAACGUCAAUAAUACGUCAUUAAUACAUCAUCCUGCCACUUGAAAAUAUUUUAAACUGAUAUGGAAAUAUAUAAUGUUGUUAUCUUUAAUAAAGGAAACGAUAAUUACAGAAUAAUUACAAAAAUCUAAAUUUUUGUAUACAAAAAAGUCAAAAAAGUACUUUAAAAAGUCAAAAUGAUGUAUUUGUAUUCAUGUAAAUAUGAUGUAAAAUGAUAAUGUAAUAUGAUAAUGAUAAUGAUAAUGUAAUAUGAUGUUAAAAUAUAAAUACGCUGUUAUCGUACGUAUCAUAACCAAACAGUAUACGUGUCUGAAAUGCGUCUCUAGAUAUUUUAAAGAUAUCUGAAAAAAUAGGACAUUUUUCAGACGUCUCUAAGAUAUCUUUUAGAUAUUCACGCUGUAUGGAUACGUUUUAUGCGAAAAAUAGAGAUAUUAACGUAUUUCUAAGUUUCAGUGACAUUUUUCAAGGACUGCGUAUAGGCAAGGCGCCUUUAAAAACUUGUAAGGCCAAUAGAGAGUCGACGAGACGAAGUAAGAGUUA